UCCCGUGGCAAUACCGGAGGGGCCACACCCGUUCCCAUUCCGAACACGGAAGUUAAGCCCUCCAGGGCUGAUGGUACUACAUGGGCAACUGUGUGGGAGAGUAGGACGCCGCGGGAU
rfam:Deltaproteobacteria bacterium GWF2_42_12 gwf2_scaffold_2361, whole genome shotgun sequence.